UUGAUCCUGGCUCAGAAUCAACGCUGGCGGCGUGCCUAACACAUGCAAGUCGAGCGAGAAAAGGGGAGCAAUCCUCUGAGUAAAGCGGCGCACGGGUGAUUAACACGUGGGUAAUCUGCCCUGGAGUGGGGAAUAACACCGGGAAACCGUUGCUAAUACCGCAUACGAUAACGAGGUCUGCGGACUUUGUUAUGAAAGGUGCAAUUCGCUCUAGGAGGAGCCCGCGGCUGAUUAGCUAGUUGGCGAGGUUAUGGCUCACCAAGGCUUCGAUCAGUAUCCGGUCUGAGAGGACGGUCGGAUACACUGGAACUGAGACACGGUCCAGACUCCUACGGGAGGCAGCAGUGGGUAAUUUUUGGCAAUGGGGGAAACCCUGACCAAGCAACGCCGCGUGGGUGAUGAAGUAUCUCGGUACGUAAAACCCUUUCGACGGGGAAGAAAGCCGCAAGUCUUGACGGUACCCGUAGAAGAAGCCCCGGCUAACUCCGUGCCAGCAGCCUCGGUAAUAAGGU
rnacentral:rRNA from 1 species